UACACGUGGUCCUUGUUGGUCACGUGACCAACUAUUAUUUUGGGAAAAAAAAAAUUAACUCUCUCUCUCCUUCACUGGCCAAAAUAAAAAAAACGCCCCUUUUCUCUCUCUCACGUCUCUUUCUCUUCCUCUCUCCUUCAACCUCAAGUUUUUAACUAAAAUUCUUGAAUUUUGUUUACAUGAAUAUCUUUUUUCAUUCAAAUCUUCAACCAAAAUUAUCAUCUCGUCUUGAUCUACCGAUUGAUACUCGUUUUGCAUUUUUCAGAGAUAAAAAAUUAUCAUUCAAAACCCUAGAAUUUGGGGAAAACUCGUAACUGUGGUGAUUAGUGAAGUGAAACUCGGCGAAAUUCUUCUUCUUCUUCUUUGAAUCGUCCUCUUGAAAGUUGAAUCUCCUAUUUUUCACAGCCAUGGACCCACGGCGACGCCAUUGAUAAGAAGAUGAAGAAAGUUGCAGUCACUUCUCAAUACAAAUCUCACAUUAUUGGGGGUAUUUUGUGAUUUUUGUUGAUACAUCAAUAGUUUGAUGUGAUUAUUUAUGGAGAUAAAGUGACUUCACUCGGAAUCGUAUAUUCGUAUAUAUUGCAAGUUUAGAGCAAUUGUAACUAGCAUAUAGUGCUAGCCUUGGUUCUGCAAUUACAAGUUAAUUAAGUUGUUUUUUUCUUUUAGCUGAAUUUAUGUUGUACCCAUUUUUAAAAUUUUAAUUUUGACGUUUUCUA